AAUGGGGGAAACCCUGAUGCAGCGAUGCCGCGUGAGUGAAGAAGGCCUUUGGGUUGUAAAGCUCUUUCGUCGGGGAAGAAAAUGACUGUACCCGAAUAAGAAGGUCCGGCUAACUUCGUGCCAGCAGCCGCGGUAAUACGAAGGGACCUAGCGUAGUCGGAUUACUGGGCUUAAAGAGUUCGUAGGCGGUUAAAAAAGUUGGUGGUGAAAUCCCAGAGCUUAACUCUGGAACUGCCAUCAAAACUUUUUAGCUAGAGUAUGAUAGAGGAAAGCAGAAUUUCUAGUGUAGAGGUGAAAUUCGUAGAUAUUAGAAAGAAUACCAAUUGCGAAGGCAGCUUUCUGGAUCAUUACUGACGCUGAGGAACGAAAGCAUGGGUAGCGAAGAGGAUU
rnacentral:rRNA from 1 species